rnacentral:rRNA from 1 species
AGGGUUUGAUUAUGGCUCAGGAUGAACGCUGGCGGCGCGCCUAACACAUGCAAGUCGAACGGCACCCCUCCUCGGAGGGAAGCGAGUGGCGAACGGCUGAGUAACACGUGACCAACCUGCCCGGCUCUCGGGGAUAGUCGCGGGAAACCGCGGGUAAUACCCGGCGAACCCGCCCGGACGCAUGUCCGGGCGGGCGAAGCUUUCGCGGAGCCGGAUGGGGUCGCGGCCCAUCAGGUAGACGGCGGGGUGACGGCCCACCGUGCCUACAACGGGUAGCCGGGUUGAGAGACCGACCGGCCAGAUUGGGACUGAGACACGGCCCAG